rnacentral:rRNA from 1 species
CAAUAGCGUAUAUUAAGGUUGUUGCAGUUAAAAAGCUCGUAGUUGGAUUUGUGGCGUACGGUGUGUUCCGGGCACUUGUUGUCUGAGUAACCUGCUGUUGCCAUCCUUGGGUGGAACCUGUGUGGCAUUAGGUUGUCGUGCAGGGGAUGCCCAUCAUUUACUGUGAAAAAAUUAGAGUGUUCAAAGCAGGCUUAUGCCGUUGAAUAUAUUAGCAUGGAAUAAUGAGAUAGGACUUUCUUGCUAUUUUGUUGGUUUGCGCAAAGAGGUAAUGAUUAAUAGGGACAGUUGGGGGUAUUCGUAUUCCAUUGUCAGAGGUGAAAUUCUUGGAUUUUUGGAAGACGAACUACUGCGAAAGCAUUUACCAAGGAUGUUUUCAUUAA